rnacentral:lncRNA from 1 species
CUCCCUAGAUGUUGUUAUUUACAUCAGUUUCUUCUGGUGCUUUGUUUUUUGUCCAACAGUCUCUCGAGAUUUGGUUUGUAAGUUUCCUCAACCAAGCUUUGGAUAGGUGGAUGUUUGGGUGAAUUCCGUCGUCCAAGAGGCUUAAAUUAUACAAUCUCCUACUCUUGGUAUUUCCUUGCCUACAGCUGUGUGAAGUACCUGCUUGAUAUGUUCUUUGUUGCCUGGUUGAUGUCCUAUACAAGUCUAUGUUGAAAUUUGGAGAAAAGUUUUGAUGGUUCAAGGUUCUUAUGGCUUUGUUAAUUUCGAUUAUUUGUUGCUCUAAUUGGAUGUCUUGAUCGUAAAAUACUUCCGGGUCUUUAUGGUUGUGUGAUUUAUUCCAGGCUUGUUAGGAAA